GCUAGCAUGAUGUAGUGGUAUAAGCAUUGGACUGUAACUCUGAAGACCAGGGUUUGAUUCCCUGUUCAGUCA